UAGGGAAUCUUCCACAAUGGGCGCAAGCCUGAUGGAGCAACACCGCGUGAGUGAAGAAGGGUUUCGGCUCGGUAAAGCUCUGUUGUUAAAGAGAACACGUAUGAGAGUAACUGUUCAUACGUUGACGGUAUUUAACCAGAAAGUCACGGCUAACUACGUGCCAG
rnacentral:rRNA from 1 species